rnacentral:rRNA from 1 species
CAAGCCCUGGAAACGGGGUCUAAUACCGGAUAUGACACUGGAUCGCAUGGUCUGGUGUGGAAAGCUCCGGCGGUGCAGGAUGAGCCCGCGGCCUAUCAGCUAGUUGGUGGGGUAGUGGCCUACCAAGGCGACGACGGGUAGCCGGCCUGAGAGGGCGACCGGCCACACUGGGACUGAGACACGGCCCAGACUCCUACGGGAGGCAGCAGUGGGGAAUAUUGCACAAUGGGCGAAAGCCUGAUGCAGCGACGCCGCGUGAGGGAUGACGGCCUUCGGGUUGUAAACCUCUUUCAGCAGGGAAGAAGCGAGAGUGACGGUACCUGCAGAAGAAGCACCGGCUAACUACGUGCCAGCAGCCGCGGUAAUACGUAGGGUGCGAGCGUUGUCCGGAAUUAUUGGGCGUAAAGAGCUCGUAGGCGGCUUGUCACGUCGGUUGUGAAAGCCCGGGGCUUAACCCCGGGUCUGCAGUCGAUACGGGCAGGCUAGAGUUCGGUAGGGGAGAUCGGAAUUCCUGGUGC